rnacentral:misc_RNA from 1 species
UCCGGUUUGUCACCGGCAGUCUCCUUAGAGUUCCCGCCAUUACGCGCUGGCAACUAAGGACAAGAGUUGCGCUCGUUGCGGGACUUAACCCAACAUCUCACGACACGAGCUGACGACAGCCAUGCAGCACCUGUCUCACGGUUCCCGAAGGCACUCCCUCAUCUCUGAAGGAUUCCGUGGAUGUCAAGGCCAGGUAAGGUUCUGCGCGUUGCAUCGAAUUAAACCACAUACUCCACCGCUUGUGCGGGCCCCCGUCAAUUCCUUUGAGUUUCAGUCUUGCGGCCGUACUCCCCAGGCGGAGUGCUUAAUGCGUUAGCUUCGGCACUGCAGGGGUCGAUACCCGCAACACCAAGUGCCCAUCGUUUACAGCGUGGACUAC